CAGCAUAUGGAGGUUCCCAGGCUAGGGGUUUAAUCAGAGCUACAGCUGCCAGCCUAUGCCACAGCCACAGCAAUGCAGGAUCUGCAGCCUACACCACAGCUCACAGCAAUGCAGGAUUCUUAACCCACUGAGCGAGGCCAGGGGUCGAACUUGCAACCUUAUGGUUCCUAUUCAGAUUCGUUUCUGCUGUGCCACAAGGGGAACUGUGGAAUACACAUUUUUAAGUGCAUAUGAAACAUUCACCAAGAUAGACCAUGUUCUGAGCUACAAAAUAAACUUUAACAAAUUUAAAAUAAUUAAAAUCAUACAAAAAUGUUAAUUAAUUUAGAACUCAAUAACAGAAAAAAAAAAUUAGAAAAUGUUCAAAUAUUUAUAAAAACCCACUUCCAAAUAAUUCAUGGGUCAAAGGUCAAAUUAUCAGGAAAAUUAGAAAAUUUUUUGAAUGUCAUAAAAGCUAAAACAACAUAUCAAAACACAUGGGAAGCAACCACACACUACUUUGAGGAAAAUGAAUAGCAUCUAAAUGUUCACAGAAUUAAAGAAAAAAGGUUUAUAAUCAACAACUUAAGCACCCACCUUAAGAAACCAAGAAAAGAAAAUUAAAUCAAAAUCAAGUCAAAGAAAAGCAUAAAGAUAAGAGUAAAAUUCACUGAAAAUGAAGACAGGAAAAUGAUGAAUGUGUAAAUCACUGAAAUCAAAAGCUGGUUCUCUGGGAGUCAAUAUUUGAUAAAUCUCUAACCAGACUGAGCAAGAAUACAACAGAAAAGACAUAAAUUACCGUCAUUAAAGAAGAGACAUAACUACAGAUCCUAGAGACAUUAAAAGAAUAAUAAAGGGAUACUGUAAAUAACUUUAUGCUAAUAUAUUUGGUAACACAGAUGAAAUGAACAAAUUCCUUGAAAGACACAACUACCAAAGUUCUCUGUAAAAAAAUAUAGCCUGACUAGCCCUAUGCUCAUUUAAAAAAAAAUGAAUUAAUAUGCAUUUAAGAAUCUCCCCACCAAGAUAACACCAGGUCCAAAUGGCUUCAAAUGUUAACUGUGCCAAACAUUUAAAGAAAAAAUAAUGCAAUAAAGAAUUCUAUGUAUAAAUUCUUGCAGAAAAAAAGGGAACACUCCCAAGUCAUUUUGAUGCUAGAAUUACUGUGAUACUAAAAUCCAACAAAGAUAAUACAGGCAAAGAAAAUUACAGACUAACAUCCCUUCUAAACAUAAGUAUCAUUCGUUCUAUGAAGCACAAUCAACCUGAUACCAAAACCAGACAAAAAUAACAGACACAAAAAAGAAAAUCAUAGGCCAAUAUCACUGAUGAACAUAGAUGCAAAAAUCCUUAACAAAAUAUUAGUUAACCAAAUCUAAAUAUAUAUUAAAAAGAUCAUACACCAUGAUCAAGUAGGAUUUAUCCCAGGGAUGCAAAGAUUCUUCAGUAUCCACAAAUCUAUCAGUGUGAUAUACCACCAUCAACAAAUUGAAAAAUAAAAAUCAUAUGAUCAUCUCAACAGAUUCAGAAAAGGCUUUUGACAAAAUUCAACUCCCACUGAUAAAAACUCUCUGAAGAGUGGGCAUAGAGAGGAACUACCUCAAUAUAAUCAAAAGCUGUUUAUGACAAACCCACAGCUAACAUCACUCUCAAUGGUGAAAACCUGAAAGCAUUUUCACUAAGAUUAGGAACAAGACAAGGAUGUCCACUUUCACCAAUGUUAUUCAACAUAGUUUUGGAAGUCCUAGCCAUGGCUAUCAGAGAAGAAAAAGAAAUAAAAGGAAUCCAAAUUAGAAAAGAAGUAAAACUAUCACUGUUUGCAGAUGACAUGAUACUAAGAAAAUCCUAAAGAGAACUGUUAGAGCUCAUCAAAUGAAUUUAGUAAAGUUGCAGGAUACAAAAUUAAUGCACAGAAAUCGAUUGCCUUUCUAUAUAUUAACAAUCAAAGAUCAGAAAGCAAAAUUAGGGAAACUGUCCCAUUUACCAUCUCAUCAAAAAGAAGAGAAUACCUAGGAAUAAACCUACCUAAAAAGAUAAAAGACUUGUACUCUGAAAACUAUAAGACACUAAUGAAAGAAAUCAAAGAUUUGUGUAAGACCCAAAUAGAUGGAAAGAUAUACCAUGCUCUUGGAUUGGAAGAAUCAAUAUAGUCAAAAUGAUAAUACUAUCUACAGAUCCCAAUGCAAUCUCUAUCAAAUUACCAAGGACACUCUUUAGAGAACUAGAACAAACUAUUUAAAAAUUUGUACAGAAACACAAAAGACCUAAAAUAUCCAAAGCAAUAUUGAAAAGAAAAAACAGAACUGGAGGAAUCAGGCUCCCUGACCUCAGACUAUACUUCAAAGCUACAGUCAUCAAAACAGUAUGGUACUGGCACAAAAACAGAAAUAUACAUCAAUGCAACAGGGAAGCCCAGAAAGAAACCCAAGCACCUAUGACAAAGGAGGCAAGAACAUACAGUGGAGGAAGUCUCUUCAAUAAGUGGUGCUGGAGGAGUUCCCAUAGUGGCGCAGUGUAAACAAAUCCAACUAGGAACCAUUAGGUUGCGGGUUCUAUCCAUGGCCUUGUUCAAUGGGUUAAGGAUCUGGCACUUCUGUGAGCUAUGGUGUAGGUCUCAGACAUGGCUCAGAUUUGUCAUUGCUGUGGCUGUGGUGUAGGCUGGCAGCUGUAGCUCCACUUCAACCCCUAGGCUGGAAACCUCCAUAUGUCUUGGGUGCAUCCCUAAAUAGCCAAAAAAAAAAAAAAAAAACUGGACAGCUGCGUUAAAAAAAUGAAAUUAGAACAUUCUCUAAUAACAGACACAAAAAUAAACUCGAAUGGACUAAAGACCUAAAUGUAAGGCCAGAUACUAUAAAACUCCUAGCAGAAAACAUAGGCAGAACACUCUUUAACAUAAAUCUCAGCAACAUCCUGUUUCAUCCACUUCCUAGAAUAAUGACAAUAAAGAGAAAAAUAAACCAAUGGGACCUAAUUAAACUCCAAAGCUUUUGAACAGCAAAGGAAAUCAUUUAAAAAAAAAAAAAAAAGACAACCUACAGAAUGGAAGAAAAUCUGCAAAUGAUACAACCAACAAAGACUUAAUCUCCAAAAUAUACAAACAUCUCAUACCAAAAAAAUAAACCACCCAACUGAAAAAUGGGCAGAAGACCUGAAUAGACAUUUCUCCAAAGAAGACAUAGAGCCAGCAGGCACGUGAAAAAAUGCUCAACAUCACUAAUUUAGAGAAAUGUAAAUCAACUAUAAUGAGGCACCAUCUCACACCAGUUAGAGUGGCCAUCAUUAACAAGUCAACAAACAACAAAUGCUGGAGAGUGGAGGGGAUGUGGAGAAGAGGGAACCCUCCUUCAUGGUUGGUGGGAAUGUAAAUUGGUACAAUCACUGAAAAACAGUAUAGAGCAAUUCCAAUCCUAGGUGUUUAUCCAAGAGAUGUAAAAACAUACACUCACACACAAAAUAAGACAACUAUCUCCAAGUGUUCAUAGCAUUUCUAUUCACAAGAGGAAAAAAAAAAAAAAAAAAGCCUGGAAACAACUCAAACACCCAGCAGCUUGCGGAUGGAUAAAACAACUGUGGCAUAGCCAUAUACUAGAAAAUUACUUAUUAACAAAAAGGAGCAAAGUACUGACACACACAACAUGGAUAAAUAUCUAAGGCAUUACACAAAGUGAGAGAACCCAGAAACAAAAACUAUAUACAGUAUGUAUCCACAUUUUGAAAAAAUCAGUAUUAUGGAAAAGGGAAAACCAUAGUGGCAGAAAAUGGGCUGGAGCUGAGGCAGAGAGGAAAGGGGGCACAAAGAAGACUGCAGGGGUGAAAGAAGUAUUCAACAUCACAACUGUGGUGAUUAUUAGAACAGUGUAAACAUUUGUCAAAAUCCAACAAACAAUAAACCCCAAAGGGAGUAUUUCAUUAUAUGUAAAUUAUACCUCAAUAAAUCAGUUUUUUUAAUUAAAAGAAAAGGAUCCGGGGAAGUUCACAGAAUCAGAGAUGGCCAGAGAAACAAGCUCAAGGUUAAAUUUCUAAGAAAACAUCCAAAACUAUACUGCAGAACUGGCUUGAUCAAAACGCUGCUGCAUCUAUCCCUUCAUUAAACCCUAAACGCCAGAACCUUACUGCUACUCAGCAGGGCACCCAACCCUACAACAAUAUUAUUCCCCCAAAGCCACACCUGCUGUGCACAGGGCCAGUUUUUCACAUGAUUCUCUUCCAAGUCAUGGUCUCACCUAUGUGCUUCCACCUGGAGAUCUGAAGUCCAAGUGGCAGAAGAGGCUGGAAACUGAAUUUUCACUUUUGACCCUGGGGAGAUGGAUCCAUGAUGUGGAAAUUUCUCUAAUUAUAGAAAUGCUCUCAAAAUAUGAAGCCAGACAUGAAUAGGACAAGUAUUGAUGACAACAAGCAGUAAAUGAAAAUGUUAAAAAUUCUUUCUCGGAAUUUCUGUUCUGGCUCAGUGGUAACAAACCCAACUAGUAUAAUCACGAGGACACAGGUUCAAUCCCUGCCCUUGCUAAGUGGGUUAAGCACCCAGCACUGCCAUGAGCUGUGGUGUAGGUUGCAGAUGCAGUUCAGAUUCCGUGUUGCUGUGGCUGUGGUGUAGGCUGGUGGCUACAGCUCCAAUUCAACCCUUAAACUGGGAACUUCCAUAUGCUGCAUGUGUGGCUGUAAAAAGCAAAAAAAAAAAAAAAAAAAAAAGUUCUUUAUCUUUCUCUUUCCUCUCCUCUACCUCUCCUAAGCCUUCCUUUGUCAAGCACCCUGUAUUUCCUCAACUCAGAGGCUUUUCCAAUGUGGGAAGCUGAAACUACCAAAGACAAACAGGCUUCCUGUCUCUAGAGAAAGCCUGGGCUACACUGAGCAGACUGUCCUGGAGAGAAGAGGUAGGAAGGGCUGCUAGGAAAGGCAUGGACACUGGCCAAGUUCCUGGAGAAGAGGGAAUCCAUGCUCUACUUUCCUACCAGGCCAAGGGAAAUAGCAGUGCCUUCAAAGACAUGGCUGCCCUUAGACAGUGGCCCUCUGUCACAGUACAGAGCUGCAAAGCUAGAUUCAGCAGACCCUGCAG
rnacentral:lncRNA from 1 species